rnacentral:tRNA from 1 species
GUUUUGAAUGUUUUGGUUAGAGCGCACGCCUGAUAAGCGUGAGGUCGGUGGUUCGAGUCCACUUAGGCCC